rnacentral:rRNA from 1 species
GACGAACGCUGGCGGCGCGCCUAACACAUGCAAGUCGAACGAGCGAGAGGAGGUUUACUUUCUCAAGCGAGUGGCGAACGGGUGAGCAACGCGUGAGGAACCUGCCUCAAAGAGGGGGACAACAGUUGGAAACGACUGCUAAUACCGCAUAAGCCCACGACCCGGCAUCGGGUAGAGGGAAAAGGAGCAAUCCGCUUUGAGAUGGCCUCGCGUCCGAUUAGCUAGUUGGUGAGGUAAUGGCCCACCAAGGCGACGAUCGGUAGCCGGACUGAGAGGUUGAACGGCCACAUUGGGACUGAGACACGGCCCAGACUCCUACGGGAGGCAGCAGUGGGGAAUAUUGCACAAUGGGGGAAACCCUGAUGCAGCGACGCCGCGUGGAGGAAGAAGGUCUUCGGAUUGUAAACUCCUGUUGUUGAGGAAGAUAAUGACGGUACUCAACAAGGAAGUGACGGCUAACUACGUG